rnacentral:snoRNA from 1 species
UAGGCCCUGAAUCAAGACCCGUGGUUUGUAAUAGCUGUUGGUUUCAAACAGGAGCCAAGAGUGAUGUGUUUCUGCGGUCUGUUAGCCAUUCAGCACCACGGUGGGAAUGGCUCAUUCAAUGGGAAGAACAUAG